rnacentral:tRNA from 1 species
GCUUCCGUAGCUCAAUGGUAGAGCAGUAAGCUUUUAACUUAUUAGUUCCAGGUUCGAGUCCUGGCGGUCGCA